rnacentral:rRNA from 1 species
AAGCAGGACUGGCGAUGUGGAUGAACCAAACGUAAAGUUAUAGUGCCUAAAAGUACGUUCAUCAGAUACCACAAAAGGUGUUGAUUCAUCUUGACAGUUGGACAGUGGCCAUGGAAGUCGGAAUCUGCUAAGGAGUGUGUAACAACUCACCAACCGAAUGAAUUAGCCCUGAAAAUGGAUGGCGCUUAAACGUAUUACUUAUACUUUACCAUUAAGAUAAAUGCUAAAUCUUAAUGAGUAGGAGGGCGUAUGGAUAAUUUAGAAGACUGACAGUGAUGUUGGUUUGGAAUUAUCUUUAGUGCAGAUCUUGGUGGUAGUAGCAAAUAUUCAAUAGUAGAACAUUGAAGACUGAAGUGGAGAAAGGUUUCACAUGAACAACACUUUGGAUGUGAGUUAGUCGAUCCUAAACGGUGGGUUAACUCCAAAUACAUGAAUACUUGUAUUCUGUACCGUGAAAGGGAAACAGGUUAAUAUUCCUGUACUAUAUCAAGGAGGC